AGGAUGCACCGUAGUUUACUACACCGUAUUCUGUGAGUUGCGAACGGGUGAGUAACGCGUAGGUAACCUGCCUGGUAGCGGGGGAUAACUAUUGGAAACGAUAGCUAAUACCGCAUAAGAACAUUUACUGCAUGGUAGAUGUUUAAAAGGUGCAAAAGCAUCACUACCAGAUGGACCUGCGUUGUAUUAGCUAGUUGGUGAGGUAACGGCUCACCAAGGCAACGAUACAUAGCCGACCUGAGAGGGUGAUCGGCCACACUGGGACUGAGACACGGCCCAGACUCCUACGGGAGGCAGCAGUAGGGAAUCUUCGGCAAUGGGGGGAACCCUGACCGAGCAACGCCGCGUGAGUGAAGAAGGUUUUCGGAUCGUAAAGCUCUGUUGUUAAGGAAGAACGUGUGUGAGAGUGGAAAGUUCACACAGUGACGGUACUUAACCAGAAAGGGACGGCUAACUACGUGCCAGCAGCCGCGGUAAUACGUAGGUCCCGAGCGUUGUCCGGAUUUAUUGGGCGUAAAGCGAGCGCAGGCGGUUAGAUAAGUCUGAAGUGAAAGGCAGUGGCUCAACCAUUGUAGGCUUUGGAAACUGUUUAACUUGAGUGCAGAAGGGGAGAGUGGAAUUCCAUGUGUAGCGGUGAAAUGCGUAGAUAUAUGGAGGAACACCGGUGGCGAAAGCGGCUCUCUGGUCUGUAACUGACGCUGAGGCUCGAAAGCGUGGGGAGCGAACAGGAUUAGAUACCCUGGUAGUCCACGCCGUAAACGAUGAGUGCUAGGUGUUAGGUCCUUUCCGGGACUUAGUGCC
rnacentral:rRNA from 1 species